rnacentral:misc_RNA from 1 species
CGCACAUUGCGCCCGCCAGCAUUCUGGCGGGCAUGCCUGUUCGAGCGUCAUUUCAACCCUCAAGCACUGCUUGGUGUUGGGGCCCUACGGUUGACGUAGGCCCUCAAAGGUAGUGGCGGACCCUCCCGGAGCCUCCUUUGCGUAGUAACUUUACGUCUCGCACUGGGAUCCGGAGGGACUCUUGCCGUAAAACCCCCCAAUUUUUACAAGGUUGACCUCGGAUCAGGUAGGAAUACCCGCUGAACUUAA